UGAAAUUGAUAGGAAUUCAAAAAAUCACCAAUUUUUUAGUCGUCAGUUUCUCCCCCCUUGUUUACUUAAUCCGCGCCUCCUUCGCCGAAAACAGAACAACCUUAAGGCAGCUUAAACCCCAUAUCACAACCCCUUCUAAGUUAAACGCAGGAACUCCAGUCAACUUCAUCCUCCAGAGCACCGGCACCAAUAACGCCGCACCGCAUUCUAUUGCCGUCGCCUAACAUCGUGCGUGACGUCGGCCCUUGCUCCUUGGAAGGUCGUCCCUAUCUUCGUUGUUUGGAAGGUCGUCCCCAUCUUCAGUUACCACAAUGGCGAGCAAGGUUGUGAGGUUGUCCUUUGCUCAAGUUUUGACGGUGAUUUCUCAAAAGUAGAACGUUAUCUUGGGGGAAGUUUAUAAGAAGUAGUACACAUCAAACCCCUUAUCUCCACCCUAAGAAGUAAGAAGACUAAAGCCAUUCACAGAAGGCUCACCAAGCACCAGACCAAGCAGUUCCAGCAAAACCAAAACAAGCAGUAGCCCUUGUUUGUCUUCUUUCCACAUAGUUCUGACGCAGUUCCAGCACGUCGGCGCCGCCUGUAGCAGCGUCCUCCAUCCACUGUUGCUGCAACACCCCUAUCUCCUUUCUUUUUGCAUUGUUCUAGUUUUCUGCUUCCAGGAUUAAUCAAAUGCCAAGGAAACCUCGGUACACCGUUAGUACUGCAGUCGGAACUAUAACUACCCCUGAUAGUCAAACCCACGCUACUCUGUAACUACUUUGUUUUUAGCACGUGGAUGGAACGAAGGAUACGGGAGCAAAUACUUCAAGUGCAUAGCGAUGUGGUAGAGCGCCUCCACCUCCGCAUUCCGGCAACGGUGUUCGACAAUCUCGUGUUAGUGCUGUACCGUUUUGACCACUGCGCAAUGAAACACGAUUGGCUCUGUCAAGUGACAUGGGGGACACUUGAGCUCCUGCAACACACACAGAACAUCCGGAUUUACAUGAAGUUGUAGAUGACUCUUUAGAAGAUGAAGACUAUGACCCGGAGGCAAAUGAGGUCAAUUCAUUCGAUGACCAUGUCGACGACUUAUUUGCCGCACAUGACGUUGAACGUCAAGGCAAUGCCAACAGCAAAAAAAAGGACACUGAUUUUUGGGUUGUUGAUGUCAUCGAAAAUGGCGUGACUUCUUGUAUGGAGCUGACUGUUAAAGAGGCAUUAACACUUCCUCCUGGAAGGAAGAUCGUACUCCAACAUAACAGAGAGUUGCAACAAGUUCGACAGGCAGCAGGCCUAUUGAGCGGGUUCUUGGGGACUUUGGGGGCUGAUUUUCAACAGUUACCAAUUUGUGAAACUAGUUGGAAGACAAUGAACAAGGCUUUCAAGGAGCAUGUGUUUGACCAGGUUAAGGUAAUUUUUAAGUUUGUUGAUAAAGUAAGGCGUUACCACUGCUUGAAGUUUUUUUGGGUCGUUCAACUGUUUUUCAAGUGUAAAAAGCUUUUUUUUUUCUCUUAAAUGAACAGUAUAAGGGAAAGAUGAAGAGGCACACACAUGAUAUUGACCAUACAAAUUUUUAGAGAAUAUCGAUAUAUAUAUAAGGACUUUUUUGUUUAGUGUAAAUUGCACUACGUUAUUAUAUAGCUUAGUCCCCAAUUAAUCCAGUCCUUCGUGUAUCGCAAUGUAACUAAUAAUUAUAGUAAUAAUAAUAACAAUAAUAAUAAUAAAACUUAUAAACCUCAUGAGAAUGUUAAAGCUGCUCCUAUAGUAAACAAUUAGAGAGUGACUAGCUAUUAUUUAUGACUUUUGUUUAAUCAAAAUGUCAGAAGAAAAUAAAUAUGGAACACAUUUGCACAAGUUGAAUCUGUUACUCUACUAACUUUGAAAAUUUGAAUGUUUUGUGGUUUUAAUUUUUUUUUUGAGAGAUUAUUUGAUUAUUGACUAGCUCUGGUUAUGCUAUUUUUCUGUUCUGCUAUUCUCCGUCAGUAGGUGGAUUUCUUUGGUUUUCUAUUUUUCUGUUUUUGUCUGGUAAAUUAGAGAAGGAUAGUGCAUGUUGGGUUUCUAUUUGUUCACUACUUUGAAUUUUAUUGCUGAGAAUUGUUCAUGUCUGUUUCAAGUGGUUAAUUAUUAUAUGUUUUCUUUCUGUUAAUUUUUAGUCUGCUCCUCCUCAACCCUCUCGACCAAAAACCCCUUCACCUUUCAACUUUGUUAUUUCUGUCCCUGCCUGUAGAAAGCUAUUGUAGAAGAGAUUCAACUUGAUUCCUUUAAUAGGAUUUGAUGGGUUCCUUUACCAAAAAGUUUUAAUAGAUUGUAUUAGUAACUAAUACCAUUAUUUAAUGAAGUGAUAUAUACUUGAUCACUACUAAGCUGGUCCAGCAAGGGGAUUCUUCUCAUAUCUCCAAUAAUGAUUUUUCCAUUAUCAUUAUUGGGAACGUUCUGUGGCAUGUAUUAUUUUUGUGGCAUGUAUGAUCAGGUGAGCGUUCCAUCAAGAUUUGAUUUGAUCCUGUUACUGAUAAGGUGUAUGUUAGGAGGGAAUAUAGACGGUCAGAGUGUCUUUCAUGCACUUGUUCCUAGCUAACUUUGAUUACUGAAAAACAAAUACUUAAUAUUGAGCCAUCUUUGUCAAGGGUCUCUUUAUUCUUGAAGUUCAUGAUCAAGGUCCACCUACUAUGAUUUUUUGUCUGUAUGAUAAGUUCUUGUUAACCUUUAUGUGGACCAAGUUAUGUGGGCUUAUGUGAUUAGGCAUGCUUAUAUUGGAUGUAUGUGACUUUUGAUCUUUAUAUGGUUAUAUUGGUUGUGAAACUUGCAUUUUGAACUUAGCCUUUAGGAUAAAGUUUCCAUGGUAGAAAGCUCUCAAUCAUAUUUGCUUGUGUGUUGAUUUGAUCACUCGUGUAUAAAGUUCUGUGAUGUAGAAUGGAUGUGGAGUUAAAGUUAAGUGGUUACAAUGACGGUGUGAAAGCACUGAUAGAAGAUCUUUAUCAUCUUCAUUGUGCUAUCUUAUAAUCUGAACUAUUUGUAACGAGUCUUUCACUAUGAUGACGAUGGAAGAUGGAGAAUAAAGCGGGAAAUUGUACAAAGAAUAGGAAGAUCCUAGAGGAACGCAAGAAAUCAUUUGUUCUAUAAGGUUUAUGACAAAGAACUAACUUUUGAGAAAAACCUCAAGCGUAAGCCAUCAAGAAUAGAUGCAAAUCACUGGAAAUAGUUUAUUGAAUAUCGGUUGAAGGAGGACACACAGGUAACAAAUAUUGAGUUGGUAUUUCAUUGUAUUCGAUUUUAAACCGUUAUGAAUUACUACUAAAUAUGCUGAAUUUAUUGUGAUAGUGGAAAAACUACUACCGAAAAUAUCUUCACCUUAUCCUUUUUUGUGUUUCCUGAAGUUGUACAUGGAUGACUUAUAAACCAUUAACAUUGUAGUAAUUUAUCUCGAUAACAUUUAUGUUUUUCUUUUUGUUCGUAGGAGAAAUGUAGAAAAAAUGCCAUUAAUCGUUCAAAGCAACUGUAUACACAUACUGGAGGUUCUAAAACAAUGGCAAGAAAGAGACACAAAGAAAUAAUUAAUUUAAAUUCAGUUUCAGAAUUUUGACUUGUUUUUAGUAAUAUAGUGUUGUCUGUUAUAUGAUUGUGUCUUGAUGAAUGUUAUAGGAGCAACGACAGGGAAGGCCUAUUGGUAGAGGAGAGAUAUGGACCAUGAGUCAUAAAAAAAGAAUGGUUUGCAUAUGAAUGAACAUGCGCGCGUUGUUGGGGUAAAUCAUGUAGAUAUAGGUUUUCCUCUCUCUUUUGUCACAUGUCUAUUUCUAUUUUAUUGAUUCUUUUAAUCGAAUAUUUUUUUAAUAUUCUCCCUGUAUGUCCAAAAUACAAAUAAAAUUAUACCAUUUUUUUAA